rnacentral:rRNA from 1 species
UGCCAGCAGCCGCGGUAAUACGUAGGUGGCAAGCGUUGUCCGGAUUUAUUGGGCGUAAAGCGAGCGCAGGCGGUUUUUUAGGUCUGAUGUGAAAGCCUUCGGCUCAACCGAAGAAGUGCAUCGGAAACUGGGAAACUUGAGUGCAGAAGAGGACAGUGGAACUCCAUGUGUAGCGGUGAAAUGCGUAGAUAUAUGGAAGAACACCAGUGGCGAAGGCGGCUGUCUGGUCUGUAACUGACGCUGAGGCUCGAAAGUAUGGGUAGCAAACAGGAUUAGAUACCCUGGUAGUCCAUACCGUAAACGAUGAAUGCUAAGUGUUGGAGGGUUUCCGCCCUUCAGUGCUGCAGCUAACGCAUUAAGCAUUCCGCCUGGGGAGUACGGCCGCAAGGCUGAAACUCAAAGGAAUUGACGGGGGCCCGCACAAGCGGUGGAGCAUGUGGUUUAAUUCGAAGCUACGCGAAGAACCUUACCAGGUCUUGACAUACUAUGCAAAUCUAAGAGAUUAGACGUUCCCUUCGGGGACAUGGAUACAGGUGGUGCAUGGUUGUCGUCAGCUCGUGUCGUGAGAUGUUGGGUUAAGUCCCGCAACGAGCGCAACCCUUAUUAUCAGUUGCCAGCAUUAAGUUGGGCACUCUGGUGAGACUGCCGGUGACAAGCCGGAGGAAGGUGGGGAUGACGUCAAAUCAUCAUGCCCCUUAUGACCUGGGCUACACACGUGCUACAAUGGAUGGUACAACGAGUUGCGAACUCGCGAGAGUAAGCUAAUCUCUUAAAGCCAUUCUCAGUUCGGAUUGUAGGCUGCAACUCGCCUACAUGAAGUCGGAAUCGCUAGUAAUCGCGGAUCAGCAUGCCGCGGUGAAUACGUUCCCGGGCCUUGUACACACCGCCCGU